rnacentral:rRNA from 1 species
UGCAAGUCGAGCGGAUGAAGGGAGCUUGCUCCCUGAUUCAGCGGCGGACGGGUGAGUAAUGCCUAGGAAUCUGCCUGGUAGUGGGGGACAACGUUUCGAAAGGAACGCUAAUACCGCAUACGUCCUACGGGAGAAAGCAGGGGACCUUCGGGCCUUGCGCUAUCAGAUGAGCCUAGGUCGGAUUAGCUAGUUGGUGAGGUAAUGGCUCACCAAGGCGACGAUCCGUAACUGGUCUGAGAGGAUGAUCAGUCACACUGGAACUGAGACACGGUCCAGACUCCUACGGGAGGCAGCAGUGGGGAAUAUUGGACAAUGGGCGAAAGCCUGAUCCAGCCAUGCCGCGUGUGUGAAGAAGGUCUUCGGAUUGUAAAGCACUUUAAGUUGGGAGGAAGGGUUGUAGAUUAAUACUCUGCAAUUUUGACGUUACCGACAGAAUAAGCACCGGCUAACUCUGUGCCAGCAGCCGCGGUAAUACAGAGGGUGCAAGCGUUAAUCGGAAUUACUGGGCGUAAAGCGCGCGUAGGUGGUUUGUUAAGUCGGAUGUGAAAUCCCCGGGCUCAACCUGG